rnacentral:rRNA from 1 species
UGGCAGCAGUCGAGAAUAUUCGGCAAUGGGCGAAAGCCUGACCGAGCGACGCCGCGUGCAGGAAGAAGGUCUUCGGAUUGUAAACUGCUUUUUCCGUCCAAAAAGUCCGCAAGGAUUGAUGGUAGGCGGAGAAUAAGGCGCUGCAAACUACGUGCCAGCAGCCGCGGUAAUACGUAGGCGCCAAGCGUUAUCCGGAUUUAUUGGGCGUAAAGAGUGCGUAGGGGGUCUGAUGCGUUUUUUGUUAAAUUCCGACGCUUAACGUCGGACCUGCAAAGAAUACGAUUAGACUAGAGGAUGUGAGAGGUCAGCGGAACGCACGGUGUAGGGGUGAAAUCCGUUGAUAUCGUGCGGAACACCAAAGGCGAAGGCAGCUGACUGGCGCAUUACUGACCCCGAGGCACGAAAGCGUGGGGAGCAAAAAGGAUUAGAUACCCCAGUAGUCCAGUCCC